rnacentral:rRNA from 1 species
UACGUAGGGGGCGAGCGUUGUCCGGAAUUACUGGGCGUAGAGAGAGCGUAGGCGGCACUACAAGUCUCAUGUGAAAUACCCGGGCUUAACUUGGGGGUUGCAUGGGAAACUGUAGAGCUUGAGUACAGGAGAGGCAAGCGGAAUUCCUAGUGUAGCGGUGAAAUGCAUAGAUAUUAGGAGGAACACCAGUGGCGAAGGCGGCUUGCUGGACUGAAACUGACGCUGAGGCUCGAAAGCGUGGGGAGCAAACAGG